rnacentral:rRNA from 1 species
UACGUAGGCAGCAAACGUUGUUCGGAAUUAUUGGGCGUAAAGAGUGUGUAGGCGGUUGCGUGUGUCUGGUGUGAAAUCUCCUGGCUCAACUGGGAGGGUGCGCCGGAAACUGCGCGGCUUGAGUACUGGAGAGGAUGGCGGAAUUCCUGGUGUAGCGGUGAAAUGCGUAGAUAUCAGGAGGAACACCUGUGGUGUAGACGGCUAUCUGGACAGUCACUGACGCUGAGACACGAAAGCGUGGGGAGCAAACAGG